UGACAGUUUUAAACUUUUAAUUUCUAUAUUGACAGUGGAUCUCCCCGAGAGGACAAAGAUCAGAUCCGUGAUUCUGCUCCUGAAAUUCGUGAUGUAUUUGGGGAUUUUGACGAUGAAGAAGAGGAUGGAUAUGCAGUUCAUCAUGACAUUGAACAUGACUCAAAUAGAUCCCCUGUUGAAGAAGAGGGCUAUGAAAAAGGCCCGAGGCCAGAGGAUAUACUUGCAGAUGAAGAUCAUAGGUAUGGGUCGGAAGAGGAAAAUUAUGAGAUGAAAACUAAAGAGAAACAACUUGGGCCACCAUUGGAGUUAGAGGUUCCGCUGCAAUCACCUCCGGCUCUUCCAGAAAAGAUGAACAUGAUUAAAGUUUCUAAUAUUAUGGGUGUUGACCCAAAACCAUUUGAUC